AAGAAAUAAAAAGAUAUAAGAUCACCCUUGUAAGGGGAACAUUGGCACCAUCAAAUAGCAACAGAGGAUCUAACUCAUCUGGGGAUGAGCACGCUAGAUUGUCUCCUCUAUCAUGGCUACUGUUUUCUUUGCAAAAUAGUUGGCAACCAUAUUAGUAUCCUUGUGUAUGUGAGAAAUCUGCCAUUGGUGAUUUGAGAAGGAGAGGUUUGCUUUGCAUUUAGCCGAAACUACUGCAACUUCCAUGGAGGCGUGCAGGGUUGUUUCAAGGAUUCUACAAGUAACUCAUAAUCGCUUUCAAUGAUGAGAGGUAUGCAUUUGAGUUCUUUUACCACAGAGAUGCUCAAUUGCUGAUCAUGGAAUUCAGCAACAUUAUUGAGUUGAGACCUAAGCGAGCUGCAAAAGCAGCUAUAAAGCCUCAUUCAUCAUAGAGGAGCCAUCUAUAUUAAGCUUGAAAUGGCCAAUAUGAGGGAAAG
rnacentral:lncRNA from 1 species